rnacentral:ncRNA from 1 species
UCGAUAAAGGCAAAGCAGUCGAAAGACUGUGACGCAAAGCUACAGGGCCUUAACGCGAAAGCGCAUGGCAGCCAGUUGCCGAA